rnacentral:tRNA from 1 species
CAUUAAGAAGCUAUGUAACAGCACUAGCCUUUUAAGCUAGAGAAAGAGGAUAAACCACCUCCUCCUUAAUGG